UUCAUCUUCACCAAGGUAGCGUAUGGGCAGAUAUUCAGAGAGGAACCUCCAUCUAUUAAGACUCCCGCUACCAUAUAUCCAGAGGAUAAGACCGUAAUGUGCAAUGGCUUGCAAUGACCAGUCCCUUCGGGUGGUAUGUCAUCAUCAGUGAAGGAUAUCACAUUGUUGUUGAAAAUGUGAUCAACCAUAUGUUGAAACUUUUUUGUGUCCAC
rnacentral:lncRNA from 1 species